AAUGAACGCUGGCGGCAUGCCUUACACAUGCAAGUCGAACGGCAGCAUGACCUCGCUUGCUAGGUUGAUGGCGAGUGGCGAACGGGUGAGUAAUGCAUCGGAACGUGCCUUUUAGUGGGGGAUAACGUAGCGAAAGUUACGCUAAUACCGCAUAUUCUCUGAGGAGGAAAGCAGGGGGCCUUCGGGCCUUGCGCUAGAAGAGCGGCCGAUGUCGGAUUAGCUAGUUGGUGAGGUAAAGGCUCACCAAGGCAACGAUCCGUAGCGGGUCUGAGAGGAUGAUCCGCCACACUGGGACUGAGACACGGCCCAGACUCCUACGGGAGGCAGCAGUGGGGAAUUUUGGACAAUGGGCGCAAGCCUGAUCCAGCCAUGCCGCGUGAGUGAAGAAGGCCUUCGGGUUGUAAAGCUCUUUCGGCUGGGAGAAAUCGCACUCUCUAAUACAGGGUGUGGAUGACGGUACCAGCAGAAGAAGCACCGGCUAACUACGUG
rnacentral:rRNA from 1 species